ensembl:lncRNA
UUCCCCUCUUGCAUCUUCCCUUAUUCUGCAUGACAUUACAGAGCUGUCGGCGCUGCUGCUCUGAGCCGCACGUGGUUAUCGUCCCAAACACAGAAAUGUCUGCCUCCCUGUAUGUCAGGAUAUGAGGAUAACAGACAGAGAGCCUGCAUGGCAGAAUUCCCAGAUCCCCAUCACAACUCUGUCACAAAUUUUGAAAAAUAAUUUUUAAUUCUUUCAUCUGAUUAAGUUCUUUACUGUGAGAGUGGUGAGGUGCUGGAACAGCUGCCCAGAGAGGCUGUGGAUGCCCCGUCCAUCCCUGGAGGUGUUCAAGGCCAGGUUGGAUGGGGCCCUGGGCAGCCUGGGCUGGUAUGAAAUGGGGAGGUUGGUGGCCCUGUCUGUGGUGGGGGGUUGGAGCUUCGUGAUCCUUGAGGUCCCUUCCAACCCGGGCCAUUCUGUGACUCUGUGAUUUCAGACUGACUUUAGGCUGUGGUGUUGGG